rnacentral:rRNA from 1 species
UACAGAGGGUGCGAGCGUUAAUCGGAAUUACUGGGCGUAAAGCGUGCGCAGGCGGUGAUGUAAGACAGAUGUGAAAUCCCCGGGCUCAACCUGGGAACUGCAUUUGUGACUGCAUCGCUGGAGUACGGCAGAGGGGGAUGGAAUUCCGCGUGUAGCAGUGAAAUGCGUAGAUAUGCGGAGGAACACCGAUGGCGAAGGCAAUCCCCUGGGCCUGUACUGACGCUCAUGCACGAAAGCGUGGGGAGCGAACAGG